rnacentral:rRNA from 1 species
GACGAACGCUGGCGGCGUGCCUAAUACAUGCAAGUCGAACGCAUUUUCUUUCACCGUAGCUUGCUACACCGAAAGAAAAUGAGUGGCGAACGGGUGGGUAACACGUGGGUAACCUGCCCAUCAGCGGGGGAUAACACUUGGAAACAGGUGCUAAUACCGCAUAAUUCCAUUUACUGCAUGGUAGAUGGAUGAAAGGCGCUUUUGCGUCACUGAUGGAUGGACCCGCGGUGCAUUAGCUAGUUGGUGGGGUAACGGCCUACCAAGGCUGCGAUGCAUAGCCGACCUGAGAGGGUGAUCGGCCACACUGGGACUGAGACACGGCCCAGACUCCUACGGGAGGCAGCAGUAGGGAAUCUUCGGCAAUGGACGCAAGUCUGACCGAGCAACGCCGCGUGAGUGAAGAAGGUUUUCGGAUCGUAAAACUCUGUUGUUAGAAAAGAACAAGGAUGAGAGUGGAAAGUUCAUCCCUUGACGGUAUCUAACCAGAAAGCCACGGCUAACUACGUG